AUUGAACGCUGGCGGCAUGCCUUACACAUGCAAGUCGAACGGUAACGGGCCUUCGGGUGCCGACGAGUGGCGUACGGGUGAGUAAUACAUCGGAACGUGCCCGGUCGUGGGGGAUAACGAGGCGAAAGCUUUGCUAAUACCUCAUACGAUCUACGGAUUAAAGCAGGGGACCGCAAGGCCUUGCGCGGACGGAGCGGCCGAUGGCAGAUUAGGUAGUUGGUGGGAUAAAAGCUUACCAAGCCGACGAUCUGUAGCUGGUCUGAGAGGAUGAUCAGCCACACUGGGACUGAGACACGGCCCAGACUCCUACGGGAGGCAGCAGUGGGGAAUUUUGGACAAUGGGCGCAAGCCUGAUCCAGCCAUGCCGCGUGCAGGAUGAAGGCCUUCGGGUUGUAAACUGCUUUUGUACGGAACGAAAAGCAUUCUUUUAAUACAGGAGGGUCAUGACGGUACCGGAAGAAUAAGCACCGGCUAACUACGUG
rnacentral:rRNA from 1 species